rnacentral:rRNA from 1 species
GACGAACGCUGGCGGCGUGCUUAACACAUGCAAGUCGAACGAAGUGGCGAACGGGUGAGUAACGCGUAAUCAACCUGCCCUUCAGAGGGGGACAAAAGUUGGAAACGACUGCUAAUACCGCAUACUGAAGGCGGGGCGUGCGUCUGAUUAGCUAGUUGGAGGGGUAACGGCCCACCAAGGCGAUGAUCAGUAGCCGGGCGGAGAGGAGUAGCGGCCACAGUGGGACUGAGACACGGCCCAGACGCCUACGGGAUGCAGCAGUGGGGAAUCGUCCGCAAUGGAGGAGAGUCGGACGGAGCAACGCCGCGUGAGUGAUGACGGCCUUCGGGUUGUAAAGCUCUGUUAACAGGGACGCGGUACCGGAAUAGAAAGCCACGGCUAACUACGUGCCAGCAGCCGCGGUAAUUC